CGGCCAUUUGCCAGCUCGCUUGCACUGGGGAGUCAGCGCUCUCCACUACGAAACUCUCAUUACAGCACAAUGACAUCAUCAGCGCUGUUUGUUUACGGAGACCUGUCACAUGGGCAUUCUUAAGAACACUGGACUGGGAGAGGAAGCUCUUCUGCUGCUGUAAUGUUGCUGGGUUUGGGUGAAAGAGGUAUGUGUCAAGAACGGUGUAAGCAAGAACUGACUUCCAAAAGGCCAUUAUUUGGAGAAAUGACUGGCAUUUGGAUGUAAAAUGGCAGGUAUUUAAGGUCUCUUACAUGACUGUCCAACCCUGUGCUCAGAACAGGAAUACAAAGAGCCACAAUGAAGCAUAAUGAAAACCAUAAAGCCAUACAUGUAACAGUGUGCUGAAUGUAGUAGAGAAGUAUUUUGAUUCCACAAAUCAGUGGAAUAAUUCUUUACCUAUAAAGCUAAUCAAUUAAUGACUAAUCCACUGUCAAUA